rnacentral:rRNA from 1 species
UCGGGAAUUUUGGGCAAUGGGCGAAAGGCCUGACCCAGCAACGCCGCGUGAAGGAUGAAGUAUUUCGGUAUGUAAACUUCGAAAGAAUAGGAAGAAUAAAUGACGGUACUAUUUAUAAGGUCCGGCUAACUACGUGCCAGCAGCCGCGGUAAUACGUAGGGACCAAGCGUUGUUCGGAUUUACUGGGCGUAAAGGGCGCGUAGGCGGCAAUUCAAGUCAUCUGUGAAAUCUCCGGGCUUAACUCGGAACGGUCAGAUGAUACUGCUUUGCUAGAGUGCAGAAGGGGCAAUCGGAAUUCUUGGUGUAGCGGUGAAAUGCGUAGAUAUCAAGAGGAACACCUGAGGUGAAGACGGGUUGCUGGGCUGACACUGACGCUGAGGCGCGAAAGCCAGGGGAGCAAACGGGGAUUAGG